GCGAACUUAGGGAGGCCUAUGUCCAGCAGUGGACUGCAAUAGGCUGAGCUGACUGACUGAAACAGAAAAUAUCAACCACCCCCCACCUCCUCCCACUCUACUAACUUUACCACGUAUAAGGUUUCAAAACCGCUUA